rnacentral:rRNA from 1 species
CGGAAAAGGGAAAGGCUUAGUGGCGGACGGGUGAGUAACGCGUGGGUAACCUGGCCCAUACAGGGGGAUAACACUUAGAAAUAGGUGCUAAUACCGCAUAACAACAGAAAGCGCAUGCUUUUUGUUUGAAAACCAAGGUGGUAUGGGAUGGACCCGCGUCCGAUUAGCUGGUUGGCGGGGUAGAGGCCCACCAAGGCGACGAUCAGUAGCCGGCCUGAGAGGGUGAACGGCCACAUUGGGACUGAGACACGGCCCAAACUCCUACGGAAGGCAGCAG